CAGAUGAGGCAACAGAGCUGUGAUUGGAUGUCACCAUGGGCCCACAGUCGUCCCCUAGGGAAGCCAUAAAAGCCAUGGGCACCUCCCCACCUCGGGGCACAGAGACACCGCUGCCUCAGCCACCCCCAGGAGUGAGCAGCACCAGCCCGUCUGGGCCCAAGACCACCUGGGAGGAGGUUGGAGAAUCCUGUCUUCCUAGGACACACGAGCCGGAGUUUCCGCUCAGUCUAGACCACAGCAUGCCCGGGGCCAAGCAAGAGAGCGUGUUACAGGCCACGACCAGCUGGUGAUGGACUGCGACCCUGGGACUGUGGAAUGCGCUGGAAUAUAGAUUGGCCGUGAUCAUUGACAUUUUGCAGGAGACACAGAUUUUUACCAACGGUUGUACCAGCGCUAAGCAGACAAGCCACGGGAGAUCCUGGCCUCCUGCUUCUCAGUCUGGUGCGUCCCCCUCUGAACCUUGACAUUCAAGACUGCAGCAGUGUCUUUUGGUGGUUGAAUUGGAAAAUACGCAUUUCUGGAGAAACUUUGUGGUUAUUAGACCAAGGCAACCACCAAGUAUACCUCUCCUACAUUUUCAUGUUCAGUUCAAGACCUUGAUCUUGAAUCCUCAUGAGCUUCAGCUAGUCUUAUGACUGCAUUGCCAUAGACAUUCUUCUGAUGCCCAUCAAACUCUGUGCUUGGAAGCUUCCAGAGGAGAAUGGACAAGUUUCCUUGGUUCCUUGUAGCUUCCCGGAGAAGGUGCUCCUGUGGCCAGAAGGGAGGAGGAAAGUGAAAAUCCCCAAAGGAGCAGGGAGAGAAAGAAGGGCAUUCUUGGGACUCCAGAGAUGGCACAGGGCUCCCUGUGGGUGGCACUCAGUGCAGGCUAUCAGAUGACAUGUCACACAUUAGGAUUGGCUUCCUAUGUGCGUGUGGCCAUUCUGUGUAAGCUGAGGGCACUUGUCACAGGGUAUACAGGUGUGUGUGCGUGUGUGUAUUUAGAGUCUGAAUUCCACGUGGAUCAGGGAAGGAGGGGUCCCUGAAAGCUUGCUAAGUGCCCACUCUGUGCCCAGCCCUGAGCUGGGACCAGCAGGGGCUGCACAAGAAGGAAGGUCACAGCCUGAGGAGACGUUUCUAAGACUGAGAGCCAUUCAGAGACUCUGAGGUCACUGUGCUAGCUUAGGGGUCUGGGCCUUGAGCUGCAGGCUCACGGAAGGGGGGCUCCCUGGGGUGGCCUCAUCAGGGCUGGAGAAGGAUGCUGGCCCUGAUUCCUCCCCACUGGGUGCUCGCCUGGACCUGCAAGGAGUUUCUGAGCCCAGCUGGCCUUGUGCUUUUGGGGGUGUGAUGGGAGGGGUGGCUCAGGUCUGGGGCGCUGUGGGCGAGUAGGGGUCUCACCCCUGGAAGUAUCUGUGGCAUCUGUGGCACAGCUGGGAUGGGUAGAAGGGUGCACGGUUCUGGUGGGGGGGAGAGGGUCUCGGCCGGUCCCCGUCCCCGGUGGCUGUGCUCCCUCUGUGCCCUUCAUUUUCUGACCAGCCCUAGGAGCAGAACCUAAAGAAACUGAACAAGGAAGCAGCAGCGCAAAGAAAAGCAGAAGUGGAAACCUUGGAGACUUGACCCUCCUCCUGGAAGGGGCCUGAAGCCGCCUGGCCCUGCUGUGGGUGACGUCUGUGCGGAGAAGAUGAGGCGGCCGGACCAGGCCGUGUGGCUGCCGUUGGCUCUGCUGCUUCUCUGGGUCCCAGGCUGUUCCUCUAUAAGUGGCCCCACCUCCAUGACGGGCACCUUGGGGAGUUCCCUGAUCGUGCAGUGUUCAUAUGAAGAGCAAUUAAGAACACAUUUCAAAUACUGGUGCAAAAAGCCAUGUUUUUGGAAAACCGUGGAGACCAAACAGUCAAGCAAAGAAGUGAGGAACGGCCGCGUAUCCAUCAGGGACCAUCCUGCAAACCUCACCUUCAUAGUGACCUUGGAGAACCUCACAGAGGAUGAUGCAGGAACAUACCGAUGUGGGAUCGAUACGUCCUGGUUAGGAGGAUAUUUGCAAGACCCCGCCGUCCACAUUGUGGUGUCUGUGAUCCCAGCAACAACGUCCGCCCCACCCGCAAACAUCACUGUAACCCAGAUCUCAACAAUCACAGCUGGAAUCACGACCACGUCGUCCUCAUCCUCACCCACUGUCCCCAUCACCAUGGGAGCCACCCACAGUGCAAGCAGCCAAGAGGAGUUCCAGCAAAGCCAGGGCGUGGGGCUCCAAGUACUCCUUUCCUUGUUGGCGCUUCUGCUGCUUCUGCUGGGGGGAAGCUUAUUCCUGGCCUGGAGGAUAGUUCGCAAGCGGGUCAAAGCUGGUGAGAAUCCAAAGCCACUCCGGACCCAUAGUCAGAAUACUCUGCAAGGUGAGCUCUAUUAUGCGAAUCUGGAGCUGCAGACAAGGACGCUUCAGGGAGAGCCCACACAGCCGAGACAGGAAGAGGUAGAAUACAGCACUGUGGUUGGUUGGAGCGGGGAGCAAAUCACAGCACACCAAGGGCUCACAGCAGGUGCACAUCACCAAAUGAGACAUCGGAAGACACAUCCAAAAGUCCUCCACUUCCUGCAUAAACUUGAGGGCCAGAUGUCAGAUGACAUCUUGUGCUGUCUCUGGCUGCUCCGUCUGAAGGGAUGAUCACCAGUAGCUGAGCAGGGAUGUCACUGAGGCUCAAUUAGGUGUCUCUGGCAAAGGAUCAGACUAAACUCUACCACCAUACACCGGGGACCUCCUAACUGGGGACUCUGGUCUGUGCCUUGUAGAAUUUCGGAUUCUUCCUGCUCCCAGGCCCACACCAGCAAUGCCCCAUCUUUCUUCUGCUGACGUCAGCCCACGUCUCCUCUGGAAAUGGGGUCCAGGGGUCAGAAGGUUCUGUUCAUCCGUCUUUCUGAGCGGCUGUGUCUUUGGUGAGAAGAUCAAGGACAAGUUCAUGUAGACAGACUGUCGUUACUGAGGCCCUUCAACCAAAGGACAACACCAACCAAUAUGAGCAAGAUGGGCACUUUCACGAACACCAGAAGGAUGUAGCGGUUCCUGCAAGAGGGGACAGAGCCGUCAGGCCCCAGGCACCCCAGGCGCUGUCACGCUUGCUUCCCUGACACAGUAGGCACUUGCCAGCCCGGCCAAGCCUGUGACCCUACUCUGGCCAAGCCCCGCAGCCCUACUCUGAAGGCCGCCAUGAACCUUAAUGGCCCAACCACAAGGGCAUCUCAGAAGUAACUUCAACUUUUUGGUUUUUCUUUGUUCUGGGUCCACCUUCCUUUCUUUUUUCUUUAUUAAAAAUUUUUUUUAACGUU